UACUGCACCCGUGUCCUGCUGAUGUGUCCCUCGGGUCUCAGCUCUCACUGUCCACGGCUGGUUCUGUGCUGGUGACUCUACGAGAGAUGAAGAGAAUGUUGGUGAUGAAUGACUUGGCGAUGGAAUUAGCCCCAAGGGGGCAGUAUUGCAACACAAAGAAGGAGGAUCUGGAUCAGAACCUUUGGACGACAUUCAUUCAUAUCAGAGAGGAGACGUGGAGAUGCUUCAGAUUUCUUUGAUAAAACGUCAGGAGCCGUUCUCUCUCUGUGUUCUCUCCUGUGUCAACUCUUCAAACAUGGAUUUGUUGAACAGAAAGUGUUUGUUGUUGCGUUGAGAACUGAGUCGGACACAGUCUGGUUCACAUCCCCUGGUUACCAGAACACACAGUUGCCGCAGUAACUAUCAGCCUGCCUGAACACACACACACACACACACACACACACACACACACACACACACACACACACGCAGGUUAAAUACUCCGAUCAUAGUUCAGCAGCGUCUGUGUGAUGAACGCAUCACUCACUUCACUGAAUCUGUGUGUGUGUGUGUGUUGACAGGCCUGGUGUUUGACUAUGAACUGAAUUGAUUUUGUGGAUCAUCUGCCUCAGUGUGAACCGUGUGGUUCAGUUUUUAACCUCUGAGUACUAGUUAGUGGAGGUUAACUUCAAGUUAUAUUUUAUAUUUUUUUGUUAAUAGCUGUCUGUUAGAGAGACUUGUGAGACUACUGGUUUGAUGUGAAGAUACUGUAAUAGUUAAAGGAGUUUUAUUUCAUGGCUGACCUGAUGCUGACGUGUCUAUGUAAAAAAAAUAAUGCCACUAUUAAAAUAUUAUUAAAACAUUAAAUAUCUCUUUGCAUUUUGCGCAUUAAGGCAGUGACAUCCUAAGGUGGUGGGUUCAAUUCCAUUAUGUUUUAGUAUUUAUCCCGCAGUGAUUUGUCAUUUUUGUUUAAUUUGUUGAGUGAGAAUAUCAUUUCUGUAGAUAUUAAAGUUUUAAAACACAGCUGAGUGGUUCUUUGUUUGAGGUCGUGACCUCUGACUCUGACAAAGAUGUGGUGAUUGUGGCUGGAGUAUUUUUUAUGAAUACACAAUCAUAAUUAUUUUAAUAUCAAACCAGCUCAAAAAUGUCUGGAUUGUUUUUUAUUUUUAAUCUAUAUUUUGUUUAAAAAAGAAUCUAUGAUUUUUUCUAAAUUAUAUUCUACUGAAUACGACUGAACAACAUCAGGAGUGAAAAUGAAUUGUAUUUUUAAUCCUGAGCGUUACAGACUCCUUUUUUAUAUAUAUAUAUAUUUCUGCUGGUGAAUGUACAGUGAACGCGGACUAAAAAUGUCUCAGACGAUAUCGAUGCUUCUCUUCAGAGACGGAGUGAAUAAUUGUCUGUGCACAAUCAGAGAGUCCUAUCUUCUCUCUCAGUCUCGCUCUGACUCUCAUCGGUGUUUACCCAGAUACAAAUCAAUCACGUUAGGAAAAAAAAGGAACUCUGAACUCUUUAUCUCUUUGUCCUUCUUUUAGAAGGAAGUGACAGUCGGCUGGGUUUCUCCUGCAGAGAAAAAACAAUCAGCUGAUCUGUGUUUGGAUCAGACUCUGCUCAGACUGAGGUCCAGGCAAAAAGCUCCUGUAUGGAGGUGCCGUCUGAGGCGCCAUUCUCUGAGGGUAGUGGAAGUAAUGAAAAGUUGGUGGUGUAUCUUUGUCUGUGAGUGACGCCCUUCAGUUUCUGAGGUAGAGCGGGUUUUCUGAGAUGAUUUGAUUUAAAAUUAUGUUUAUAAUAGGCAUAAUUCUUUCAAAGUAAAAAAAUCUCCGUACAUAAAAUUAUGUAUGGAAAUAAAAUAUGGAAAGGUUUCUGGCGCGUCCACGCUUUAUCUUUGCAAAUUAUUUUUUACUGCAUGCUGGCCGUACAAGAGAGUUCAUAGAUAUGUUUUAACAUGGGCUUUAAAGCUAAAAAAUAAUUCAAUGUAUUUUUUGUAACAUAUCGCUGUCUGUUGUAGAACGACCUAAAAAGGUCAUUUUCUUAUUGUUUAAAAACCACACGAUUACAAAACGAACGCAGACGCCCCCAACAUGCUCCAAACGUCACAGCAAGCGCAAUGCGGCAUAAGACACACGCCGUUUGUGUGAAAGUAAAAUGACGCUGAUAACAGUUAAAUAUUAUGAGAGCAAACUGAGAAACACCGUAGAUUAUCACAGUCGAUGCCAGAACAAAAUGUCUUUUUUUGGUUGGUACAGGUGUUGAAAAGAGCUGCUUUUGUUUGUUUAAACUAAUGUUUAACUGUUGCUAAGCUAACUUUUACCUGACCCAAUUUAAAUUGUCAUACACCUUUAGUAGUUUCUAAUCCAACUUUUGGCAAAAUCUAAUUUUAAAUUAAAUUAAAAGUUGAUUUUUUUUUUACUAAAAUAUUUGGCUAAAAUCUUUUCACAUAAUCAUUUCAACAAAAAUCAAACUACCGUGAUUAUGAACCAUUCCACCUCCAAAAACAUUUAAAUGUUCUAGUGAGUAAAACAGAGAUGAGGCUGAGGUCACACUGCGACCAAGUGUUAGCGUGGAUCAGAGAGUAGCCUUUUGUUUUUGUUACCAUGGCAUCGUGCUGUAGUGUCAGGACUCAGCCUCUCUGGGCCGCAGCCGUCUCAACUCUUAAAGUUUGUGCUUCAUCUUUUCACACUCAUUAGUCUUUGACUUGAAUUAAAAGUGUGCUGAGGCUCCUCUUUGGAAAAAAACAAUUAAUCUAGCCACUCUCAGAAACACUCAGUGGUAGUAAAAAAAAAAAAAAAAAAAAAAAAGUGAGAGAAUUUAAUUCCCAGUUUUGACACCUACCAGGC